AUUUAAAAAGAAGGUUUAGCAGCUUGGGAGCCAGUAAAAGCAGGGGCUUGGCUAGAGCUUCUUAAUCCUACAGAGUUCUUUGCUGAUAUUGUAAUUGAACACGAGUACGUAGAAUGCACAGCAGCAUCAAUCCAGGCCUUUGUGUUAUUCAUGAAAUUAUAUCCAGGACACCG